UAGAACGCUGAAGAGCCCACCAUUCUUUUCCACCCCUGCUGAUCCAGAACCAGGCACAGCUGGCAACCGGUGCCUACAAACCUCCUUCCACCCCCAGCGUCGCACUGCCUCUCACCUGGCCCAGCUCCUCCGGCAGCCGCCCGGCUUCUCCUCUGCGAAAAAGAAGGACCAUGGACUACAUUUGAUCUGUUGGAUUACACUUUGGGUACCUGCGUCCUGGAGAGAAGCCAGAAAUCUCUCUCCAUCUUCAUUAGUGCCUCUUGCCUUCAUCUGUCCUGGGCUGAAAUCCUGUGAUUCUUCCACUCUGACUCAGUCUUUAAGGUUUCUGGGGCUGGAUAAUUGGACUGAGCAGGAGCACUGGGGAGUCAGAGUGAUAUGCUGGGUAUUGGUGCAGUGAGGCAGCAAAAAGCCUGCUGAUCAAGCCUUUUCUUCACAUCCUGCCUUCUUGACUCUAUAACUCAGUUCAUUAGCUAUCCUCCUUACUGCCUAAUAUGCCUCCCUGGUUAUGUCUACACUGCAAAACCAAAAUAAACCCCCCCACAGCAGCAAGUCUCAGAGUCUCUGGUCCAUAGUCUCAGGUUUGUGCUAUGGCACUAAAAGUAGCAAUGUAGACAUUCCCUCCCACUCAGGCUGGAGCUCAGGCUCUGAUACCCCCCCUCCUCACCAGGUUUCAUAACCUGAGUGGGAGCAUCUACACGACUAUGUUUUGCACAGUAGCACAAACCUCACAAGCCUGAGUCUGUAGACUUGGGCUCUAUGACUCUGCCAUGGGUUAUUUUAUUUGCUUAUUUGUUUGCAGUGUAUGUGUGUCCCCUGGCUUCUCUAUCUGCUAGUUCAGAGGCUGUUGCUCAUCCCAAAGUUACCUACAGUCUACACAAAUCUGAAGUCUCUUCACUCUUGGUGUUGUAAAUUAACAUCAGAAAUUAAAAUCAUGAAGAUGAAGUUACAGAAAUAGUUAUUUACACUAAGAGAGGGAGUUCUCUGCAAGAAUAAUUUUAGUCUCUCCUUUUGUGUCUUUGAUAAACAUUUGAGUCUUAGCAGGUUGAGAGGUACGCCUAGUUGUUUUUAUGCCUCCUGCAAGCCUUUCACAGAUUUGCUAAGAUACACUAGCAAUAAAGUAUCUCAAAGUGGCUUUCCAUUUUGUCAAAUUUAGGAAGUCUGUCAGAGAAAGAAGCUGCUCCUUAGAGAAGAUAGGUUGCAAGAAACAUAGGUUGAUGGUGUCAAGAUUGGAUAAUGGGACAUUAUCAGUGCAUCUCACUGUAAGUUCUCAAGUCAUUUUGAAAAUAUAAUAAAGCUUGUUAGCUGUCACGUCCAAAUAACUAUGGAUCUAAUUGUUGUAAUUCAUUUUUAAU